GUAAUGCUGGCAGAUGAUGUGCUCUGAGAUAACAAACACAUUGGUGCAAAGGACCUGCCAAGCAUCUAAUAUGCUCUCAUUUCCAGGAUAAUGUCUAUGGUAAGGAAGACAGUAGGAGCUCCAGCCAGAGUGCUGCAGCUCUGUGGAUGUCCCACGAGGCUGCAUGUGCAUAGAACUGGCGUGCGCAUGUGGGCAGGCCCCAGCUCUACAACAGAAGACAGCAGCUGGAGCUUCUGGAUGUUCCAAGGAGAGAGCCUUAGAGACGGCCCACCAUGUUCCCAACAUCUCAUCAAUCCUUCCACCACUGGCUGUCAUCCCAGGGUCACUGUGCUGGAGGCCAACAGACCCAGUGUGACUGACUGACUGCCCUCUGCUGGGACCCAGUGAGGACUUUCAAACACUGUGACUCAUGCUUCUUCAGUCACUUGGAGCUGUGGUGAGCCUCCCAGAAUGUGGGUCUCAUUACAGGCAAGUCAAUGUGGUCUUUUCCUCUUUCAAGAUGUCUGUGUUCCUGAGCAAGAAUCUGGGCAGGAAGCAGGACCCAAUGUGGCCCAAGAAAGAACUUGGGAUGCUUCCCUCAGGCACCAGAGCUUUGCAGCCCAGGCUGACGAGUGCUCUGCAUUGCACACCGUCGCCCAAGCUUCUCCAGGAAGGCAGGAGGCUUCUGAAGGUCCCUGAUGAGGGCCCCGUCGGCUCUGCUGAGGUCUCCAACAUACGCUGCAGAUCUACUUUUCUUCUCAGAUUGGCCUUUGACCUUUCCGAUGGCACAUCUGUGAAGCCUUUGCUUCUCUCUCCAUGGGGGUGCAUGCUGUCCACAGGAAGGCCUGGGCAGAAACCUGCAGUUCUCCUGCACACACCGGUAGCCCAACAGACUCUAUUCUUGCUCUGCCUCAUUGCCUAUAGCAUCUAUGGUGGGAAUUAGCCUCUUUUUAAUGAUAAAUAGUUGGGGAAAACAUGUGACUCUGACUUUUACUAAAAAGCAUUGACUCCACUUGAGUCCACAAUGUAAUUAAAAAUGAGCUGGAAGCCUGGCAUCUCUGUCCUUCCUUCUUUGGAAAAUCUGUCUACCACUCAGAGGGUGUUUAUCUAGAAACAUGUGAUACCAUCUCAUUCCCUCUACACUAAAGGCACAGAGAGCCAUUGUCCAAAAUCUACAGUCACCUUGGAUUUGAGGAUGAGCAAGACCUCACAAGUGGGACAGAAUGUCCCCAAUAUGAGAAUAAUUGUCUUUGAUGGAGAGGCUACAUCAUGGAGCAAUUCAUCAUGUAGAUGACCAAAUUGGUCCUCUUAGGAGAUGACUAUCAUGACCAGAUUCACAAUUUAUGGACCACUCUAUGGGGCUAGAGCUGGACCAUGGGCAGGACCACACCUUGACAAGAACUGUGGACUCAAACUUGUCUCUUAUUCAAGAACUGUGGACUCAAACUUGUCUCUUACUCAAGAACUGUAGACUCAAACUUGUCUCUUACUCCUGCUCAAGUCUUCUUCUUUUAAACCUAAAGCUCAUAUCAUUCAGUGCCCUAAAGAUGGAGUGGGGGGUCACUGCACCCCUUUAUCACUUCCUCAUCCCAGUGUGCAUUGAUUAAUCCAUGGUCUCUGCUUUUCAUCAUCCCUUAUCUCCUAGGUUGGUAUUUUAAGGUGAGUGGCCAAGCCCAGCUUUCUGGGGCUCCUAGAGACAGCACCUUUGCCUUAAAACUCUAGCCACAGAUCCCAUCUUCCUUAGGGAGCUGCAUUCCACAGAAGAGGGAGGGGACUUUUUCCUCAAUGCUGAGCAGAGUCCUCUGACUCUCAGGUCUCAGUAGAGACUGUCAUAAGCUCCCUGAGCUUUGCAUUUGGGUUGUAAGGGCUACCCUGUGCUGGUUAGGUUUUUGUCAGGUUGACACAAUCCAGGGUCAUCUGGGAACCCCAAUUGAGAGAAUUCCUCCAUUAGAUUGGCCUGUAGCCAAGUCUGUAGAGGCAUUUUCUU